AUCACAUUUGAGAUUUUUUUGCUUGCACACCGGUACAGUUUUUGCGGGGAAGUGAAAGUUAUUGGAAUUUUGUCUUCUUCUAAAAACAAGUGUCUGCUACAUGUAGUUGCAGUCUGUCUUUGGAAGCUGUUGAAGUAACAAGAAAGAGGCUACAUUGACAUCCUGUUUUGGUAGGGAGAAGUUUGAGUAUGUACAGUUGUUUGACCUGUCUUAUCAUGUGGCAGUCCCAGAAGAUGUUACCAUUAUGAAUAAAUGCAGG